CCUACGGGUGGCAGCAGUGAGGAAUAUUGGUCAAUGGACGAGAGUCUGAACCAGCCAAGUAGCGUGAAGGCUGCCUGCCCUCUUGGUUGUCCCCUUCUUUUCCCUGGGAAUAAAAUGUUCCACGUGUGGGAUUUUGUAUGUACCAUAUGAAUAAGGAUCGGCUAACUCCGUGCCAGCAGCCGCGGUAAUACGGAGGAUCCGCGCGUUAUCCGGAUUUAUUGGGUUUAAAGGGAGCGUAGGUGGAUUGUUCCGUCAGUUGUGAAAGUUUGCGGCUCAACCGUAAAAUUGCAGUUGCCACUGGCAGUCUUGAGUACAGUAGAGGUGGGCGGAAUUCGUGGUGUAGCGGUGAAAUGCUUAGAUAUCACGAAGAACUCCGAUUGCGAAGGCAGCUCACUGGACUGCAACUGACACUGAGGCUCGAAAGUGUGGGUAUCAAACAGGAUUAGAUACCCGUGUAGUC
rnacentral:rRNA from 1 species